AGCGCAGGCGCAGCGAAAGAGAGAGGCCACAAGCGAAGAGGAUAACUUUCCCCGUCCUCGCCGCCGGCGCCGAUGGCUACGACACCCGCUGCCGCCAUUGUCCUCCACCGCGUGCUCGUCGCACGCUCCGCUGCCGCCAUCCCCCUCCACCGUGCGCCGGCGCCGCGCGGUCCCGCCCCCAUCUUGGUGGCGCCGCCGAGGAGACGGCGGUGGCGUGGCCCUCUCCGGUCGCUGCCUCCCGAAGGAGCUCCAGCCGAGCUGAUGGAAGAGGACUCCAAGUUCGUGCCGUUGAACGCGGACGAUCCCAUGUACGGCCCACCGGCGCUAUUGCUUAUCGGAUUUGAGAAAGGGGAAACUGUCAAGAUUCAGGCCUUCCUGAAAGAGCUUGAAGGUGAAUUCCUCAAGGUGAUUCAUUGUACAGAGGAGAUGAUAAAGCAAACCUUGUGGGAUGCCAUGCACACUGAGCAGUCUAAUUUAGAAGCUGUGAAGAUUGCAGACUCACUGCCAAGGAUAUGCAUAUUUUCUGGUCUGACUGGUGAGGAGAUGAUGAUGUUCAUCAAUGCCUUCCCAGAAACUGGAUUGGAACCAGCUGCUUUUGCUGCACUUGUUCCUAACAGUUCAGAGAAGGUUCUCGGUGAGGUGAUUGAGGAAAUAAUGGGAGACCACGAGAUGCUGACAGGAAAGAACACUGAAUGAAGAGAAUCUAAAGUAGCAAAUGGGCAAAGCAGAAGGACAAGGCCUAUGAAGAACAUUCAACACUGGGAAAACCAUGAGACGAUCUCCUGAAUUCACCAAGUGUUAGACUGUUAGGAUUCUAGGAUUGUUAAUGCAGACCAGUAACUCUUUUUGGUACGCGUAGAACUACAGGAAGCUCGGCAUGGAAAACGAUACCAAGGUAGAGCUGUAGAAGUAGAACCAUCAGUUUAUUUUCUCUCGAAAUAAAUACCAAACUUCCAGCAUCUCGUA